GGUUACCUCAGGUCAGAGAAGACUACCCGCUGGACUUAAGCAUAUCACUAAGCGGAGGAAAAGAAACUAACUAGGAUUCCCCCAGUAACUGCGAGUGAAGAGGGAAGAGCUCAUCAUUGGAAUCYGGCGGUGUUGCACCGUCCGAGUUGUAGAUGAGGAGUGGUUCRUCUGGACUGCAUGGCGUCCAAGUACAAUAGGCCGUCARUGGGACAUCAUAGAGGGUGACAAUCCCGUCCUUGAUGCCAAUGUGCAAGUCCAUUACGAUGGCCAUCUCAGAGAGUCGAGCAGUUUGGGAUUUGCUGCUUAAACAUGGGAGGUAGAUUCCUUCUAAAGCUAAAUACAGGCAAGAGACCGAUAGAGAACAAGUACCGCAAGGGAAAGAUGAAAUAGCACUCUGUGAAGGGAGUCAAAAGGCGUGAAAUUGUUGCGAGAGAAGCGAUUCAAGUCAGCGUAGCUAGGCCCCAUUAAGCCUCUUUGCGCUUUGGACUAGCUUUGCCAGCGGUCUYGUCCUUAGAGACUUGACUUGUAUGUCCAGCCUGGUAUGCACAGGUAGCCCUCCGGGGUCAGUGACAUGGCUGGUGGAAUGGCUUGCAAUCGACCCGUCUUGAAACACGGACCAAGGAGUCUAACAUGUAUGCGAGUAUAAGGGUGGCAAACCCGUAUGCGCAAUGAAAGURAUUUUCGGUGAUUGAGAAUGGCCUGAUGACCAGACAAGCAAUAUAUGUCCCUCGUACGGCCAUUGCCCAAGUUCCGUGGUAGAUCCCACGAACAUGGAGUUGGAGCAUACAUGCUAGGACCCGAAAGAUGGUGAACUAUGCCUGGACAAAGCGAAGCCAAAGGAAACUCUGGUGGAGGCUUGUAGCGAUUCUGACGUGCAAAUCGAUCGUCUGAUC
rnacentral:rRNA from 1 species